CCUGCCCAAGAUGCAGCUGAAACGCUGCCAGUGGAGGAAUGGGCAGCACUCUAAACGUGGCAGCGGCACGGGCAGAAGGGAAAGCAAUGGUGGCAGAGGAAGUAGCAGUGGCGGGCGCCGAAGGUCUCACGAUGUAAAGUGCCCCACCGAGGCUAACAUUCACGCCGACGCCGCCCACCCGCUGACCUGGCCUGCAACCAGCACCAUACCCGGGUCUGCAGCAAAGGCGCUUGGCGGAGGUAGGGAGCCCUCUGCGCUCCACCAUGAUAAGCUGUUAGGAGCGGCUGGUGGUGAGGCGUGGCAGCCCGUGGGGCGCUCUA